AUGAAAUUCAUAAGUGUUUACAUUUUAUAAUAUUAAUGAAAUGAAGACCAAAUGGCUCGAAAUCUUAUGAUAUCAAGGAUUGCUUUGAUUGAGAGAAAGUUGUAUAUUACAGACUAACAUCAAUAUAUAUAUAUAUAUAUAUAUAAAAAGUUUAAUAGAGAAAUAUAAAAGCAAAAAGGAGUUUUUUGCUGUUCUUUAUAUUUUGCUCUCUGCAGCAUUUCUACUUCAACUCCUGACUGUCUAUAGAGGCUAUACACGACGCACGGGUCGAUAUUUUUUAUUCUUCUACAAAUCAGCUUUGACAAUAACAUUAAACUUUAAUAUCUACCACCACGACCAUAAAAGCGGAUCCCUCCUCUCCUCGACGACGACAUUUCCUCCUCUUCCAUAAUAAUAAUGAACGACGAGUCUAUUUCCAGUUCCCUCCUGGAGUUUCUCCGAUCUCAAAUCCCUUCAAUUAAAGUGGAUGAUAUUGAUGGCAUUCUCUUGGACUAUGUCACCUCCAUCCUCGAGGAUCUCAAGGAAGACAGCUCUAAUUUUGAUUUGGAUGAAUUUUAUGAAAUGCUCACUGCCUACAUACCAGACUCUGCUUCUAUAGAAUCCGAGAUACUUGCGGAUUGGCUCAUUAGAACGGCAUGUGAGCAGAGGAAAGAAGAGCCUCAGGGGAGUAGCAGUUCUUCAUCUGCAUCCUACUCCUUCCUCUCUUCGUCGAUAUCCAAGGUUGCAUCUCUGGAUCUCUCUCAUAUCAUAAAAGAAACACCCAAAGAGGCCCUUGAAGAAGAAAAAUCACCUGAUUCUUCCACUUCCUCCACAUCAUCCACUUCUUCAGAUCCUACUUUUGAAAGUAAAGAAAAUGCUCAUAUCGAAGAGUCGUGUGAGGACGAGAGAUAUGAGUUUCAAGAUAAAAUGGAUAGUCUUUCCGAGUUAUUUCCCUAUGCCUGCCAAUUAGAAGUGGUGCAUUGCUUGAGUUUAGCUGAAGGAGACAUUGACAAUGCGGCUCAUCUCAUCAUGAUUCGUAAUGAAACGGGACAGAGUUUCAGAGCACCUACUGAUAGAAAAAUAAUCAAAGCCAAUACCAAGCCGAUAUUAAAUGCAAAGGAAUUAAAAGAAAAAAUUGUUGGUAAAUAUGGGUUCAUUGAUCAAGCAGAGGAUUCCAGAUAUCAUCGACCAAAUAUAAAAAAAACCGAGGACAAAAAGUUGAUUCGCUAUCGCGACGGCAAAAUAGUGAGCACCAAAGGAGAAAGAUUUACUCAAGUUAAGAAGGAAGGUCCUGAAGAAAUGAAGAAGUCAAAUAAUUACGAAUCCGACGUAUAAUUUCCACAUAUCAUUCUCAAAUUAUUCCCUUUUAUUUAAUACUCUCAUUAUCACAAAAUUUCAAACAUAAUUAUGCAGAUAUUAGAUAGCAUUUUUGAAAUGGUAUUUCUACUCGAUGUGAUUAUUUUUAGUUUAAUUAAAGCCCUCUUCAGGCAUCUUUAUUGUUCAUUCCAUCGUUUUUUGUUAGUAUCAAUGAAAACGGCUGUGAAGUUUUCAAAUACACUUUUAAUAUUAGUUAAUUAUAAUAAAUAUUCCAUGAAAAAAAUAA
rnacentral:misc_RNA from 1 species